rnacentral:rRNA from 1 species
UACGUAGGGGGCAAGCGUUGUCCGGAAUCAUUGGGCGUAAAGCGCGUGUAGGCGGUCCGGUAAGUCCGCUGUGAAAGUCGGGGGCUCAACCCUCGGAUGCCGGUGGAUACUGUCGGGCUUGAGUACGGAAGAGGCGAGUGGAAUUCCUGGUGUAGCGGUGAAAUGCGCAGAUAUCGGGAAGAACACCCGUGGCGAAGGCGGCUUCUGGGACGGUACUGACGCUGAGGCGCGAAAGCGUGGGGAGCGAACAGG